AACGAACGCUGGCGGCAUGCCUAACACAUGCAAGUCGAACGAGACCUUCGGGUCUAGUGGCGCACGGGUGCGUAACGCGUGGGAACCUGCCCUUAGGUUCGGAAUAACUCUCCGAAAGGGGUGCUAAUACCGGAUAAUGUCUUCGGACCAAAGAUUUAUCGCCUUUGGAUGGGCCCGCGUUGGAUUAGCUAGUUGGUAGGGUAAAAGCCUACCAAGGCGACGAUCCAUAGCUGGUCUGAGAGGAUGAUCAGCCACACUGGGACUGAGACACGGCCCAGACUCCUACGGAAAGGAGCAGUGGGGAAUAUUGGACAAUGAGCGAAAGCCUGAUACAGCAAUGCCGCGUGAGUGAUGAAGGCCUUAGGGUUGUAAAGCUCUUUUACCCGGGAUGAUAAUGACAGUACCGGGAGAAUAAGCUCCGGCUAACUCCGUG
rnacentral:rRNA from 1 species